AAUGAACGCUGGCGGCAGGCCUAAAACAUGCAAGUCGAACGCCUGUAGCAAUACAGGAGUGGCGCACGGGUGCGUAACACGUGGGAAUAUGCCUAUUGGUACGGAACAGCUCCGGGAAACUGGAAUUAAUACCGUAUGGUCCCUUCGGGGUAAAGAUUUAUCGCCAAUAGAUUAGCCCGCGGUGGAUUAGCUAGUUGGUAGGGUAAUGGCCUACCAAGGCGACGAUCCAUAGCUGGUCUGAGAGGACGAUCAGCCACAGUGGGACUGAGACACGGCCCAGACUCCUACGGGAGGCAGCAUUUAGGAAUAUUGGACAAUGGGCGCAAGCCUGAUCCAGCCAUGCCGCGUGAGUGAUGAAGGCCUUCGGGUUGUAAAACUCUUUAGCCGAUGAAUAUAAUGACUGUAGUCGGAAAAUAAGCCCCGGCUAACUUCGUGCCAGCCGCCGCCGUAA
rnacentral:rRNA from 1 species